GGGUUGAUGGUGUAAAGGUUAGCACAUUUGCCUGUGGUGCAAAAUGUCCGUGUUCGAUUCACGGUCUACCCA